UACAGAGGUGGCAAGCGUUGUUCGGAAUUACUGGGCGUAAAGGGCGCGUAGGCGGCCUUCUAAGUCAGACGUGAAAUCCCCCGGCUUAACCUGGGAACUGCGUCUGAUACUGGAGGGCUUGAGUAUGGGAGAGGGAUGUAGAAUUCCAGGUGUAGCGGUGAAAUGCGUAGAUAUCUGGAGGAAUACCGGUGGCGAAGGCGGCAUCCUGGACCAUUACUGACGCUGAGGCGCGAAAGCUAGGGGAGCAACAGGGAUUAAGAAACCCUAGUACGU
rnacentral:rRNA from 1 species